GGUCCCAUCRUCUAACGGUUAGGACAUCAGGUUUUCAUCCUGGAAAUCGGGGUUCGAUUCCCMRUGGGAUCACCA
rnacentral:tRNA from 1 species